AGUGAACGCUGGCGGUAGGCCUAACACAUGCAAGUCGAACGGCAGCACAGUAAGAGCUUGCUCUUACGGGUGGCGAGUGGCGGACGGGUGAGGAAUACAUCGGAAUCUACUUUUUCGUGGGGGAUAACGUAGGGAAACUUACGCUAAUACCGCAUACGACCUACGGGUGAAAGCAGUGGAUCUUCGGACCUUGCGCGAUUGAAUGAGCCGAUGUCGGAUUAGCUAGUUGGCGGGGUAAAGGCCCACCAAGGCGACGAUCCGUAGCUGGUCUGAGAGGAUGAUCAGCCACACUGGAACUGAGACACGGUCCAGACUCCUACGGGAGGCAGCAGUGGGGAAUAUUGGACAAUGGGCGAAAGCCUGAUCCAGCCAUACCGCGUGGGUGAAGAAGGCCUUCGGGUUGUAAAGCCCCUUUGUUGGGAAAGAAAAGCAGCAGGUUAAUACCCCGCUGUUCUGACGGUACCCAAAGAAUAAGCACCGGCUAACUUCGUG
rnacentral:rRNA from 1 species